CAAAAUAGCAGCCAGGAGCUUUACAGACAACAGUGCUGAUAUUUUGGUUGUCUAAUUCCUCCUCUCUGUCACGGGCUGUGGACACUUUAUCAAGUCAUGCUUGCCUCUCCUCUGCUCCUUGCAGAAACUGUUCCAGGGAACCUUGUCAAUGUCUGCAUACUUUUUCUCUGUGGCAUUGUUUCACAAGGCAAGCUGGUUAAAAGUAAAUCAAUUUACAUUUCGUUGGGUUUGUUUGGAAUGGUGAGGUCUUAACUGAAAAUUUUAGGCAUUUUGUGGGAGAUUAUUUAGGUCACACUUCCAAUCUAUGAGAUCAUGACACACAGGCAGCCUAUUUUAAGAGGUAAUCUGAAAUGUUCCAUUUAAUUGGGCUAGUUGGAUGUGGCACCAUUUGACUGCAAGUGAGGGCAGAAAUUUGGAGGCUGGUAAAGUUUAGAAUCACAGACUGCUCAGCUGAAGUGAGGGCUUUGCAUACAUUUGAUCAUUAGAAGGAAACUGAGGCAGAAGGAUUAAUCACUCAAGGUCACACAUAAAGAAGCAAGUGGCUUCUACAGGAUGCUUUCAUCGCCAAGGUCAGAGGCAACAAGAAUGGACACAGGAUGCAGACAACCCUCGGGGGAUUCUAGCUCAUGCUCAUGAGAGUCCGGUCUGCUCAUGAUCUUCCUGUCCUGACUGCUGUCCUGCGGACUUCAGGCUCCAGGAUUAGAAGUGGAGACAGCCUUGCAGGGUCUGUGGAAGGAGGUCCCUCCCCUACCAAAUAUG
rnacentral:lncRNA from 1 species